GCUGUUUAGUUUGGUAUUUGUGUUUACAGCAAACUGUGGGGUGUCCUGGGCACAGACUGGCUGCUGACAGGCUCUUUUUCCCUUGCAGUUCGCAGUGUUGAUGUGGGUUUUCACUUAUGUUGGUGCCUUGUUCAAUGGUCUGACAUUACUGAUCCUGGCUUUGAUUUCGCUCUUCAGUGUUCCUGUUAUUUAUGAGAGACAUCAGGCCCAAAUUGACCAUUACCUGGGACUCGUGAACAAGAACGUCAAAGAUGCCAUGGCAAAGAUCCAAGCAAAGAUCCCCGGGUUGAAGCGCAAAACUGAAUAAAAAAAAAAAGCCUGAAGCAACUUAUCAAUAGGAAGUUCAUCUUUUAAGGGGGAAAAAUACUCAUUGGAUUUACACGGGGAGGGUCAGGGAAUAGCAAACCCCUUGACAUUGCAGUGCAAUUUCACAGAUCUUUAUUUUUUAGCAACGCAGUGUUUGAGGAAAAAAUAACUGUUUUGACUGCCAUGUGUUUCAUCAUCUUAAGUAUUGUAAGCUGCUAUGUAUGGAUCUAAAACUAAUCAUCUUUCCUUAUCCUGUGUGCAGCACUGGCUAAUACAAACGACUGAGACAGCUGUACAUUUGCUUCAUCAGAGGUAGUUCCUGCUGCGUUCCGGAGGUGUAGAGCAGGUGGGGCAGAGGAGAACACUUCCCAGUUUGUGCACUGUGUAUGGUCUGUGUAGAUUGAUGCAGAUUUUCUAAAAUGAGAUGUUUUAGAAGAAUAUACCAGUUUAGCAAGUUUUGAAAAAUCUUGCCUUUUUGGUAUGAGUAUAGCUGUAUUGUGAUUUUAUUGUUUUAUCAAUUGCCAAUAUAUAUAUAUAUGUGUUUCACAAAGCUUAGAUCUUUCAGCUGCUCCACAGUGCUUUGUAUGUCAGAGAACUGACUGAGGCCUGGACGAGCUCCAGAGCACACAAGCUUGAGAAACUAAAAAGUCUCUGUAAACACUGGCAUCUGUUGGAACCAACAAAAGAGAAAAGAACAAAGAACCUCCACAUAGAGUAAAAGAAAAUUACAGCAUACACUUUGUUGCACAAACGUACAGUAGUUGAUCUUGAGCAAAUACUUCUCCAGCUCUCAGACUCUGAUAAUCUGUGGACCGAGUAUCUAAUGCUGCAAAUGUUGUUUGGAAACUUAAAGCCCUGUCCUGUUAUGCAAGAAAUGAUAAGUGAAAAUUUAUACACUUGCAGUUUGAGCUGUACUGAACUAAGUCUGUGGAAUGCAUUGUGAAAUGUAAAAAAAAAACCAACAAAAAAGCAAAAAAAAACCACCCAACAACCAACCCCAAAACCCCAAGUAUCAAUAAAGCUUAUAGACAUAAAAUAAUACCGGUAUUUGGCUUUCUUGAGGCAAGUUUAAUCUAUUUGUGUUUAUUUGAAGUUCAUUGUGAUAAAUAUCCAUUGUCCAUGGUGGUGGCAGUAGUGUCCGAGUAGAGCGCGGUGCAGGGUGGGUUUGUCACGGUCCCUUUUCUUUCUCUGCACUGGGAAGGAGUUGCUCAGGGCCAGCUCCAGAGUCCCAGGGAGCUCCAGAGGGUGUCAGGUUCUUGGAUUUUUGAGACAGGAAUGGUGGAUGCCAUUUUCAAGUUUGAAGGAAAUAAGUCCCAAUAAUCUUUCCAGGUCAACGUGUUGAUUCUGAUUGAAGAGCUGGACAUUGAAAACUUGUGUACAAAUUUAUUUGAGAUGCAGAUUUUUAAUGAAUGGCAUCUUGACCAUUGAAAAAUAGAAAUUCAUGCAUUAAUAUUUCAGUUUACAGUAAAAUACAGCGUUACUUCUGAGCAUUUUAUACAGGAAGCCAGACCAUAGAAACAUACAAACCGUAAGUAAGUGUUUUCCUGACAGACACUAUUGCUUGAAGAUAUUUCUCACAUCACUGUUGAUUAAUUCAUUCUGCCACGCAACUGGUUUUAUUUGGGAUACAAUCAACGUGGAAGGAAGGCAAACAUGAGUGGUUACAACACAGGCAGAGGUGCUCACUGCUGGCACCACCUGACAGAACAGGAUUUGAUCCCGAAGGUUGCUUUAAAAAACAGACUGCAUAGGGACUCGUACUGUGUAUCUGACAAACUGCUCUGCUGUAUAGUCAUAUAAGGCAUUAAUAAAUUCAAUUGUAAAAAAAAGGUGAUUCUUUGAGGUUGCUGAAGCACUUUGUGUGUUAAACAGACAGGAAUCCACUCCUUUAAUGGGAUGUUUUUGCUACUUUUCUGUGCAGUGGGCAGCAGAAACGGACUGGCAGGAAGGUUCCAGAGUUCAAAAGCCUAUUGUCCUGCACUGGGACUAAAGCACUAUUGCUUUUCAGAGACUAAAUUCUGUCCAAAGGCUC